rnacentral:rRNA from 1 species
CAGCCGCCGCGGUAAUACGGGGGAUGCAAGUGUUAUCCGGAAUUACUGGGCGUAAAGCGUCUGUAGGUUGUUUAAUAAGUCGACUGUUAAAUCUUGAGGCUUAACCUCAAAACAGCAGUCGAAACUAUUAGACUAGAGUAUAGUAGGGGUAAAGGGAAUUUCCAGUGGAGCGGUGAAAUGCGUAGAUAUUGGAAAGAACACCGAUGGCGAAAGCACUUUACUGGGCUAUUACUAACACUCAGAGACGAAAGCUAGGGUAGCAAAUGGGAUUAGAUACCCCAGUAGUCCUAGCUGUAAACAAUGGAUACUAGAUGUUGAACAGAUCGACCUGUGCAGUAUUAAAGCUAACGCGUUAAGUAUCCCGCCUGGGAAGUAUGCUCGCAAGAGUGAAACUCAAAGGAAUUGACGG